GUGCCUGCUUCAGCAGCACAUAUACUAAAUUGGAAUGACACAGAGAAGAUUAGUAGAGCCCUUGUGUAAAGAUGACAUGCAAAUUCAUAAAGCAUUCCACAUUACC
rnacentral:snRNA from 1 species